CCCUGGCUCAGGACGAACGCUGGCGGCGUGCCUAAUACAUGCAAGUCGAGCGGAUGAUGAAGAAGCUUGCUUCUUCUGAUUUAGCGGCGGACGGGUGAGUAACACGUGGGCAACCUGCCCUGUAGAUUGGGAUAACUCCGGGAAACCGGGGCUAAUACCGAAUAAUCCAUUUCCUCACAUGGGGAGAUGUUAAAAGACGGUUUCGGCUGUCACUACAGGAUGGGCCCGCGGCGCAUUAGCUAGUUGGUAAGGUAACGGCUUACCAAGGCGACGAUGCGUAGCCGACCUGAGAGGGUGAUCGGCCACACUGGGACUGAGACACGGCCCAGACUCCUACGGGAGGCAGCAGUAGGGAAUCUUCCACAAUGGACGAAAGUCUGAUGGAGCAACGCCGCGUGAGUGAAGAAGGUUUUCGGAUCGUAAAACUCUGUUGUAAGGGAAGAACAAGUACGAGAGUAACUGCUCGUACCUUGACGGUACCUUAUAGAAAGCCACGGC
rnacentral:rRNA from 1 species